CACCAAAAUCUUUAAUAAAGUCAAUUUGGAGGGACCAUCGUGCGCGUUUUGCAAGGCCAUUUGGUGGAUUGUCUAUUUUGCAGCUGUCAAUAUGUGCCCGAGAGAAUGAGAGGAGUUAUUUUAUUGUCUUUUUCUUUAAAGAGAGGCCGAAUCUAAAGGUGACAAGUGUCAACUAGAAGACCCAAAGACUAGGGACCAGAAGUGGUAGCUGGCUAGAGAAAACGUCUACCUUGAGUUGGAGGUCCUUCCUUUCCUUUUUCAAAUUUGUCGGCUAAAUGCCAUAAUCAUAAAGUUAGACAUGCAUGAUUGAAAUUUUUCAUAUCAACUUAAAUUUUUGGAGCCAAUUAGUUUCUCAACAUGGUUUCAAAGCUCGAGUUUGCUCGAGCUUAUGAUCGCUUCUAUCUUCAGUUUAUUUGUUAUCUUGAUUUUUGUUUGUUUCUCUACAUAUGCAGUUUGAAUACAAUUUAAAUCUCUCCACUUUAUUUGUUAUCUUAAUUAUUAGCUGUUUUCGACUUGCCUAUCUCUCCAACUCCAAUUUUUUCGUUAUCUUGAUUCUUAAUUAUUUUUGACUUAGCGCUCUCCAUAUUUUAGCCGUACAAUUUAAUUAUCUCUAGUUAUUUAUUAUUUUGAUUCUUGAUUGUUCCUAACUUAAACAUCUCUCCACAUUUGUGAUUCAGAUACAAAUUUCCUUUAUCAAUGGUCUCGGUGAUCUUUUGGAAUUGGCAUCUUUCUUCCAUCCACC
rnacentral:lncRNA from 1 species